rnacentral:rRNA from 1 species
GAUGAACGCUAGCGGCAGGCUUAACACAUGCAAGUCGAGGGGUAACAGGGAGAAGCUUGCUUUUCCGCUGACGACCGGCGCACGGGUGCGUAACGCGUAUAGAACCUACCUUUUACAGAGGAAUAGCCCAGAGAAAUUUGGAUUAAUGCCUCAUAGUAUUAUAGAAUGGCAUCAUUUUAUAAUUAAACAUUUAUGGGUAAAAGAUGGCUAUGCGUUCUAUUAGCUAGUUGGUAAGGUAACGGCUUACCAAGGCUACGAUAGAUAGGGGUCCUGAGAGGGAGAUCCCCCACACUGGUACUGAGACACGGACCAGACUCCUACGGGAGGCAGCAGUGAGGAAUAUUGGACAAUGGAGGCAACUCUGAUCCAGCCAUGCCGCGUGCAGGAAGACGGCCCUAUGGGUUGUAAACUGCUUUUAUAUAGGAAGAAACCUUUCCACGUGUGGAAAGCUGACGGUACUAUAAGAAUAAGCACCGGCUAACUCCGUGCCAGCAGCCGCGGUAAUACGGAGGGUGCAAGCGUUAUCCGGAAUCAUUGGGUUUAAAGGGUCCGUAGGCGGACUAAUAAGUCAGGGGUGAAAUCCAACAGCUUAACUGUUGAACUGCCUUUGAUACUGUUAGUCUUGAAUUAUAUGGAAGUAGAUAGAAUGUGUAGUGUAGCGGUGAAAUGCUUAGAGAUUACACAGAAUACCGAUUGCGAAGGCAGUCUACUACG